rnacentral:rRNA from 1 species
UACGUAGGGGCCUAGCGUUGUCCGGAUUUAUUGGGCGUAAAGAGCUCGUAGGCGGCUUGGCUAGUCAGGUGUGAAAUCUCCACGCUCAACGUGGAGGGGCCACCUGAUACUGCCAUGACUUGAGUCCGGUAGGGGAGUGUGGAAUUCCCGGUGUAGCGGUGAAAUGCGCAGAUAUCGGGAGGAACACCCGUAGCGAAGGCGGCACUCUGGGCCGAGACUGACGCUGAGGAGCGAAAGCGUGGGGAGCAAACAGG